UUACGGCCAUAUCACGUGGAAACACCGGUAUUCUUACGAUCACCGAAGUUAAGCAACGUUGAGCGUGGUCAGUACCAAGAUGGUGAUCGCUUGGGAAUACCAAGUGCUGUAGG